rnacentral:rRNA from 1 species
GACGUAGGGGGCCAGCGUUGCUCGGGAAUUACUGGGCGUAAAGGGUGCGUAGGUGGCGGGGUUAGUCAGGUGUGAAAUCUCGGGGCUCAACCCCGAAACUGCACUUGAUACUGCCUCGCUAGAGUACUGGAGAGGAGAUUGGAAUUUACGGUGUAGCAGUGAAAUGCGUAGAUAUCGUAAGGAAGACCAGUGGCGAAGGCGAAUCUCUGGACAGUUACUGACACUGAGGCACGAAGGCCAGGGGAGCAAACGGG